rnacentral:lncRNA from 1 species
AACCUGACCCAGCUCGUGAUCAGCUUUCCCCUCAGCUUCUACAAGUAGAGAACAACUUAUUGUUUAUCUUUUGGCCUCUUCCUCCAGUCAACUGUAACCAUGAGUACAGCAACUUUCUGUGAGCUCUGUGAAUUCUUCCAGUAAAUUAUCAAAGGACCUUUGAAGGUGACCACAGCUGCUAAAAUGAAUUGAACUGGGAGAAAAGGAGAGCCAAGGCUGGAGUAUAGUAACUGCAACCUCUGCCUCCCAGGUUCCAGUGAUUCUCAUGGCUCAGUCUCCCAAGGAGCUGGGAUUACAGGCACCCUGCGUUCAAAUGACUUGGAAGAGCAGGUUCUCUGAGCCAGGAUACUAAAGUCCCUGUUUAGGAAAAAGCCACGUUGUAUGUUUACCCUACCACAAAGAUACAGAGAAAAAUGUCCUUGCACUGUGGCCACAGCAUGUGUAUCUUUCUACAUCUGCCCUCAAAUUCCCAGCAACAUGAUUGUGCUCUGAGCGGAAGCCUCUUGGUGUUCUAUGUUGCCUUCGUCCGUGUGAAAAGCAAAACAAGUCCCAAGCAUUUCUCAGGUUGCUCUCAAAUUAUUGGACUCUGUGGCAUGUGCAUUUGAAUGUUCAUUCAACAAAUAUUCACCGAGCACUUACUACGUCCCAGGUCCUCACAAUACAUCUGUGUACAAAACAGACCAGAUCCCUGCCAUCUGGAACCUCGUACUUGGGUGAGUGAUCAGUUUCCAGAAUCAGACAGUUUGCUCAUUUGAGAAAACUCCUGUGUGGUUCAAGAUUCCAGAGGAGAACACUGAGACAGGAGUGGACUGGGUUUAUCACAUGCCCCAUCUUGUGGUUUCCUAACAGGCCAAAUGCAACACAGAGAGGGGUAUUGCUCACUCUUCCUGUUUCUGUCACUCAGACAGGAGCUAGAUAGUUCCUUUCCUACCAAGCUAAGACUUUUGCUCUCAUCAAGUGAGAGGGUCCCUCUUACCUUACAAUAUUUCUGACCCGAACCCUGGCAACCAGAAAUCUACUUUUGUUGUUGCUGUUGUUUUUGUUUAUUUGAGGCAAAGUCUUGCUCUUGUCCUCCAGGCUGGAGUGCAAUGGCACCAUCUCAGCUCACUGCCACCUCCGCCUCCCGGGUUCAAGUGAUUCUCCUGCCUCAGCCUCCUGAGUAGCUGGGAUUACAGGCUCCUGCCACCAUGCCCAGCUAAUUUCAGUAUUUUUAGUAAAGAUGGGGUUUUACCGUGUUGGCCAGGCUGGUCUCAAACUCUUGACCUCAGGUGAUCUGCCCACCUCGGCCUCCCAAAGUGCUGGGAUUACAGGCGUGAGCCACUGCACCUGGCCCACAAAUCUACUUCUCUCAGCUUGCCUUGACUGUCAUCACAAGACAGAAUAGUUCCCCUGAGAGACUUUCAUUUGCUCUGUGGUAUCACUCUUUAGACUACCUGAGAUAUAUACUGGAAAAUGCCACCUCUUAAAAGCCACCAGUAAGUUCUUAAUUGAAUCCACACUUUAGUCUUUUAUCCUUUUGAUUUCUAUGGUAAAGAAGAACAUAGGCCCUAUAUUUGCUACUCAUAUCUCCCAUUCAUUUGUAUGUGAUUAAGUAGGGUUUUUAGCUUACAUACAGCUAUAAAGCAUUUUCCAAGUCUUUUUAAUAUUAUCUAGUUUGCAUGAAAUAAGGAUGUAGGAGUGAGUAUGUUUGGCUUUUGGCUAUAAAUGGUUGGAAAUAUUUCGAAAGAUCCACUCUCUUCUGAGCUCUCUUACUGUUCUUGUUUUCAACCAGCAGAAAUUGGAAAAUAAAGAUUGUGUGGGUA